UAUAAUGCAGUCGAGCGAGCAAUUUUAACAGAAUACCUUCGGGUAGGAAGAUAAAAGCGCGAGCGGCGGAUGGGUGAGUAACACGUGGGCAACCUACCCUUUAGCCUGGGAUACCACUUGGAAACAGGUGCUAAUACCGGAUAAGAAGUGAGAGCACAUGCUCAAGCUAUGAAAGGCGGCGUAAGCUGUCACUAAAGGAUGGGCCCGCGGUGCAUUAGCUAGUUGGUAAGGUAACGGCUUACCAAGGCGAUGAUGCAUAGCCGAGUUGAGAGACUGAUCGGCCACAUUGGGACUGAGACACGGCCCAAACUCCUACGGGAGGCAGCAGUAGGGAAUCUUCCACAAUGGACGAAAGUCUGAUGGAGCAACGCCGCGUGAGUGAAGAAGGUUUUCGGAUCGUAAAGCUCUGUUGUUGGUGAAGAAAGACAAGGAUAGUAACUGAUUCAUGUUUGACGGUAAUCAACCAGAAAGUCACGGCUAACUACGUGCCAGCAGCCGCGGUAAUACGUAGGUGGCAAGCGUUGUCCGGAUUUAUUGGGCGUAAAGCGAACGCAGGCGGGAAGAUAAGUCAGCUGUGAAAGCCCUCGGCUCAACCGGGGAACGGCAACUGAAACUAUUUUUCUUGAGUGCAGAAGAGGAGAGUGGAACUCCAUGUGUAGCGGUGGAAUGCGUAGAUAUAUGGAAGAACACCAGUGGCGAAGGCGGCUCUCUGGUCUGUAACUGACGCUGAGGUUCGAAAGCAUGGGUAGCGAACAGGAUUAGAUACCCUGGUAGUCCAUGCCGUAAACGAUGAGUGCUAAGUGUUGGGAGGUUUCCGCCUCUCAGUGCUGCAGCUAACGCAUUAAGCACUCCGCCUGGGGAGUACGACCGCAAGGUUAAAACUCAAAGGAAUUGACGGGGGCCCGCACAAGCGGUGGAGCAUGUGGUUUAAUUCGAAGCAACGCGAAGACCCUUACCAGGUCUUGACAUCUAGUGAAAAGCCUAGAGAUAGGUAAUACCCUUCGGGGACA
rnacentral:rRNA from 1 species